GCAUUCCUCUGGCAUUUAAAUAAAGCUUCUCUGGCUCAGCGUUGUGCUGUUGAAUGUUCCCAUCUCGUUCCUUUUGCCCAUUCUUUAGUUAUGCAUUUAUUUAUUAAUUUGCAGACAGGAAAACAUUCAAAGUUCAUUGAAUUUCCCGGGAGACGCUGCAGCUGUAUCCCCUAAUUUGGCCGAAACCACAGAUGGCGGAAUCAGGCAGCCAGCAGCUCUGCCAAUGAGACUGCUUAUAAAUUAUAUUCUCGGGGUCCAUUGUUUCUGGGUACAAUAAGCCAUUUGAUUAGCAGUAAUUAGAUUUCCCCGUUUGGUCGGUCUGUCGCCGGUACGGCACGAGCGUUUAAGCCACUUUUAUUUUAGAGGACGGGAUUGCGGUUUCCUCAGAUUCCUGCGCUUAUCGGGACAGCUUAGUCCCACACUUUUGACCGUUUGCCAGAACGAGCCUUCGUGAGCCGCAUUGUACUCGGGACAUUUAAUCAGCGAGAUGCCAAUCAACAGAUAAAACGACUUAAUCCGGAAUGAAGCAUUGCAAAUGAAAUGUAACGGCCUGCCUGGCAGCGGAACAAGCGAGGCGACCAGCCUUCUAAUGUGGGCUAAAGAAGCUGCCAUUUUCAGAAGGUCAUCAGAGCCAUUGUGUAGUUUGUUUCAUUUUUUUUUUUUUUUUGCUCUAUGAAUUUUGUAAAACAUGGAGGGAAUUUUAAAAAGCUGUUUUUUUCCCCCAGUCUACGGUCUCAAAUCUGCCUAAAAUUUGUUUGAGUGAAAUGUUGUGUUUGAUGUGACUUUUGUUCCAUAAUUGUGUAAACUUAUGAAUUCAGUGUGCUACAUAGGAAAACUACUCGUCAGAAAGUAAUCACCAAUUACUGAAAUGCCAUACUCUGACAAAUGUACCAUGCUUUUUAUUAGACAAUACAUUCAUUAUUUUUUAACUACUGAAAGCGACUGCCAAAAAAAUCAAUCCCAAUUCUCCAGACUAUGGAACAAGCUUGUCAUAAAUCAUAUUGGAUUUCUGUUUACAUUUACAUGAAGAACAGCGAUGGACAGAGAACCCAUAAUUAUACAUACAUAUAUAAUAGUUUAUC